rnacentral:lncRNA from 1 species
AUCAAAUCCAAGAUAAUUAGCUUAUUGAAAACAUCAGCUGUCUAUUAUAAUUUCUUCGUAUAAAUAUGUAAAGAUUGGUUAAAUAGGAUUUAGAAAAUAAAAGGAACAUAUUUUGUAGUUUAAGCUAUUACGUCAUAUCUAAAGUCAUGUAAGGUGAUAAUUUUAAAUCCACCCGUUUGCCAAGAAUUAGAAGUUGAACUUAUAAGGAC